rnacentral:sRNA from 1 species
AUUGAGGCACAAAUUGACCUCCAGGCUUUCUGGUGGCCAGAGUUAGAACAGAGUCAGGUUCACCCAUCAUCAGAAUAACACCAUCACGCUCAAGAGGAGCUUAAUUCUCUCGAGCAGACACGGCAUCCGGCGCAAGCUCAUCAAACAGCUCGGGGAGCACAAGCGGGUUUACCAGUGCAAUAUCUGCAGCAAGAUCUUCCAGAACAGCAGCAACCUGAGCAGGCACGUGCGCUCGCAUGGUGACAAGCUGUUUAAGUGCGAAGAGUGUGCAAAAUUGUUCAGCCGCAAAGAGAGCCUAAAGCAGCACGUUUCCUACAAGCACAGCAGGAACGAGGUGGACGGCGAGUACAGGUACCGCUGCGGCACUUGUGAGAAGACCUUCCGCAUCGAGAGCGCGCUGGAGUUCCACAACUGCAGGACAGAUGACAAGACGUU